rnacentral:rRNA from 1 species
GGGUUGUGAGGUUAAGCGACUAAGCGUACACGGUGGAUGCCCUGGCAGUCAGAGGCGAUGAAGGGCGUGCUAAUCUGCGAUAAGCGCCGGUAAGGUGAUAUGAACCGUUAUAACCGGCGAUACCCGAAUGGGGAAACCCAGUGUGAUUCGUCACACUAUCAUUAACUGAAUCCAUAGGUUAAUGAGGCGAACCGGGGGAACUGAAACAUCUAAGUACCCCGAGGAAAAGAAAUCAACCGAGAUUCCCCCAGUAGCGGCGAGCGAACGGGGAGGAGCCCAGAGCCUGAAUCAGCAUGUGUGUUAGUGGAAGCGUCUGGAAAGGCGCGCGAUACAGGGUGACAGCCCCGUACACAAAAGCGCAUGUGCUGUGAGCUCGAUGAGUAGGGCGGGACACGUGGUAUCCUGUCUGAAUAUGGGGGGACCAUCCUCCAAGGCUAAAUACUCCUGACUGACCGAUAGUGAACCAGUACCGUGAGGGAAAGGCGAAAAGAACCCCGGCGAGGGGAGUGAAAAAGAACCUGAAACCGUGUACGUACAAGCAGUGGGAGCACCCUUUUGGGUGUGACUGCGUACCUUUUGUAUAAUGGGUCAGCGACUUAUAUUCUGUAGCAAGGUUAACCGAAUAGGGGAGCCGUAGGGAAACCGAGUCUUAAC